rnacentral:rRNA from 1 species
UACGUAGGGGGCUAGCGUUGUCCGGAUUUAUUGGGCGUAAAGAGCGUGUAGGCGGCCAUGUAGGUCCGGUGUGAAAACUCGAGGCUUAACCUCGAGAUGUCAUCGGAAACCAUUUGGCUAGAGUCCGGAAGAGGAGAGUGGAAUUCCUGGUGUAGUGGUGGAAUGCGUAGAUAUCGGGAGGAACACCAGUGGCGAAGGCGGUUGCCUGGAGCUUUGCUGACGCUGAGGCGCGAAAGCGUGGGGAGCGAUCCGG